rnacentral:lncRNA from 1 species
CGCAGCAGAGCCAGGCUGGAGGACAGCUAACCCAAACUCUGUGUCUCACACCCGGCGAGACCGAGGCCCAGAGACGGAAGGGCAUCGCCAGCAGUCGAACCGAGAACUAGCAGAGUGAGCCCGGGAUCCCAGCUCUUGGCUUCCUCUCCAGGGCCCUGUCUGUGGCUGAAGAACUGAACUCAGAUGCUGUAGUAAGUGUCCUCCCAAUGAAAUCAAGGCAGGGUCUGCAAAGACCAGAUCAUUCAUUCUAAUGAAUGAGGCAGCUGUGGAGAGGUCCAUGUAUCAUAUCGUGCAUGACAUGACAUGGCAGCUGUGGAGAGGCCCACAUAAUAGAGACCUGCUGCCAACCACCAGUGAGGAACUGAGACCUGCCAAGAACCAUGAAGAUUAGCCCUGAGCUAACUACUGCCAGUCCUCCUCUUUUUGCUGAGGAAGCCUGGCCCUGAGCCAACUUCCGUGCCCAUCUUCCUGCACUUUAUAUGUGGGACGCCUACCACAGCAUGGCGUGCCAAGCGGUGCCAUGUCCGCACCCGGGAUCCAAACCGGCGAACCCUGGGCCGCUGAGAAGCAGAACGUGUGCAUUUAACUGCUGCGCCACUGGGCCGGAC